rnacentral:rRNA from 1 species
CCCAGACUCCUACGGGAGGCAGCAGUGGGGGAUAUUGCACAAUGGGGGGAACCCUGAUGCAGCGACGCCGCGUGGGUGAAGGAGCGUUUCGGCGCGUAAAGCCCUAUCGGCAGGGAAGAAGGAGGACGGUACCUGACUAAGAAGCCCCGGCUAACUACGUGCCAGCAGCCGCGGUAAUACGUAGGGGGCAAGCGUUAUACGGAUUUACUGGGUGUAAAGGGGGCGCAGACGGCAGCGCAAGCCAGGAGUGAAAGCCCGGGGCCCAACCCCGGGACUGCUCUUGGAACUGCGCGGCUGGAGUGCAGGAGGGGCAGGCGGAAUUCCUGGUGUAGCGGUGAAAUGCGUAGAUAUCAGGAGGAACACCGGUGGCGAAGGCGGCCUGCUGGACUGCGACUGACGUUGAGGCCCGAAAGCGUGGGGAGCAAACAGGAUUAGAUCCCCCCGUA